UCAGAAAUCUGAUCCUGUGAAAGAGACAGAGAGCAAAUGGGAGGGAGGGAGAGAGAGCUCUCAGUAGUUUGGAUAGGAGGCCCCUGGAGGAGAACCAGAGGAAAAACCACACAAUCCAGCUCUGUCAGUGGAGCUUGCAGCCUGCACAGGGGGAAGUGCUUGGGAAAUAAUUAAUGGUUUUGAUUAAAUUUGCAAGGAGUUUGGUGCAAGCAGUCGCCAUCAGCUCAGAUCCUGAGGAAAUCACAAGAUCAAUGCAGGCAACAGACAGUUUGUGACUCAAAGAGAGAGGUGUAAAUACAGUCUCCCAAGGAUGGAUGGAUUUCAUGAUCAGCAAGUGCCUUACAUGGUUCCCAAUAAUCAAAGUGGGACAAUCUGCCAUGAGAGAACCACGAAUAGCAGGAAAAGAAAGUUUUUAAAUAGAGACCUGGCUCAUGACUCAGAAGAGCUUUUCCAAGAUCUGAGUCAGUUGCAAGAGACGUGGCUUGCAGAAGGUAAG